CCUACGGGUGGCUGCAGUGGGGAAUCUUGGUCAAUGGGCGCAAGCCUGAACCAGCGAUGCCGCGUGAGUGAUGAAGGCCUUCGGGUUGUAAAGCUCUGUGGGGAGGGACGAAAGCCUGCAUUCUAACAGGAUGCAGUUUGACGGUACCUCCUUAGCAAGCACCGGCUAACUCUGUGCCAGCAGCCGCGGUAAGACAGAGGGUGCAAACGUUGCUCGGAAUCACUGGGCGUAAAGGGCGUGUAGGCGGGAAGGAAAGUCAGAUGUGAAAUCCCUGG
rnacentral:rRNA from 1 species